CUGUGUCUUUGAAUCGAUGAACCUGCUGUAGUGCUGGCUGACAGUCUUGAAUAUUCAUUUUCCUCUGGUACACCAUUUGAUACUGAAUUUCCAUUUUCAGCAGUCACAGAACUGGACAGUGGAUUAGAAGACUGAGUUCCAUGGUUAUUUGCAUUUUUAUCCUGCGUUUCUGAUCCAGUAUCUGAUGCAUUUGGAUCUUCUCUGCUCCUCAAGUUCAGGUUAGUUUCACCACCUUCUGGCUCCC
rnacentral:lncRNA from 1 species